GAACUGCUAGUGCUUUUUCACUAUGUCUUUGACCUGCCUCUCUUCUAAGUACUCUGUCUGCUCUUCUUUAAGGUGGAGAAUCGUUUCGGUGCCCCUGCCUUGGUCAGCACAUACAGUGAAGGAACCCCCGCCAGAAGACUCCCAGACUAGAAACAACCUACCUCGGUAAAUGUUCUAUGUAUGCUCACAAAAAUAUCAACUCUGCUGCUAGCAGUUCUACAGAUCUCAAGGACAGUGGCAAAAUGCUCCCAGUCUCUUUGCUAAAGCAUAACAAGAGUCACCUUUGCUCCAGUUCCCCACAAGUUCCUGAUCUCCAUCUGAUACCACCUCAGCUGGGACUUUAUUGACCAUCUCACUAUCAGUAUUUGGGUCAAGCCAUUCAGCAAGUCUCUAUGAAGUUCCAGACUCUCCCACAUCUUCCUGUCUUCUUCUGAGACUGCCAAACUGUUCUAGCCUCUGCCUGUUACCCAGUUCCAAAGUCACUUUCACAUUUUCAGGUAUGUUCAGAGCAGCAUCCCCCACUACUUGGUACCAAUUUAUUGAAUUAGUCCCUUUUCACAUUUCUAUGAAGAAAUACCCAAGACAGGAUAAUUUAGUUUUUAAAAAGAGGUUUAAUGGACUCACAGUUCCCCAU
rnacentral:lncRNA from 1 species